CCUACGGGUGGCAGCAGUCGAGAAUCAUUCACAAUGGGGGAAACCCUGAUGGUGCGACGCCGCGUGGGGGAAUGAAGGUCUUCGGAUUGUAAACUCCUUUCAUGUGGGAGAAAAUUAAAAAGAUAGUACCACAAGAGGAAGAGACGGCUAACUCUGUGCCAGCAGCCGCGGUAAUACAGAGGUCUCAAGCGUUGUUCGGAAUCACUGGGCGUAAAGCGUGCGUAGGCUGUUUCGUAAGUCGUGUGUGAAAGGCCCGGGCUCAACCCGCGGACGGCACAUGAUACUGCGAGACUAGAGUAAAGGAGGGGCAAGCGGAAUUCUCGGUGUAGCAGUGAAAUGCGUAGAUAUCGAGAGGAACACUCGUGGCGAAGGCGGGUUCCUGGACAUUAACUGACGCUGAGGCACGAAGGCCAGGGGAGCGAAAGGGAUUAGAUACCCGAGUAGUC
rnacentral:rRNA from 1 species